rnacentral:misc_RNA from 1 species
GAGAAUGUGACUGUCGAGAGAUUGGAGCCGAAGCCUUAUUCGGGCCGGCUGUGUGAACAUGCUCAUGUGUGUUUUAGUGAUGACAACUAUAAUCUACAGUCAGAUGUAGAUUUUCCUCAUUCCCAAGAAUGCUGUGCUAGAAAUCAAAACAACGAUUUUAACGAGUCAGAACACCUGGGCUAUGAGGCAGCGGGGGGACUGAUCAUUCUCCACGAAGCCCCAAGUCUGAAUCAAGUGGAUGUUUCAUCCAGUGACUCUGGUUACAAAGAUACGUUACACCGCGCUCAAUCUGAGUCAGAUGAAGACAACGCUUUGUUCUCUGCCACCAAAAGUUUCGCCUCUGAUCAGGACAUGGAUGACAAUAUGCAAACCACUGCGGUUUCUGAUGAAUUUGAAAUGACAGACCUAUCAGAUAAAAUGAAAUCCAUUAAGAUUUCUCCAUCCCAAGGAAUGGAUCAAUCAGAGCUAAUUUCUGAAGUGUCAUGAGAUCAAACAGCUCAAUUCUGGCAAAUGAAUCCAUUUUCAUGUUACCGUGGUAAUUAUAAAUCUCGUCAUGUUGGUUGAUGACAGUCCUCAUGAACAGAAGUUCAGCUCCAUUUAAAGUUGCAUCAUUUUUCCUAAAUUUUUAGAUCUCUUGAUUUUUUUUCUUUUUUCACUUAAUUUAUAUAACAAUUAUAUCAAGAUCAAAGGUAUUUUUACAAUUGAUUUUUAAUCUAAUAAAAUCUAAAGUUG